GAUGAACGCUGGCGGCAUGCCUAAGACAUGCAAGUCGAACGAGAAGGCCCAAUGAUUACUGCGUGCUUGCACAAAGUAUGAUUUGGAUUCCCUUCUAGUGGCAAACGGGUGAGUAACACGUGGGUUACCUACCUCUAAGACGGGGACAACAGUUGGAAACGAUUGCUAAUACCGGAUGUGCUCUACGGAGUAAAGAAGCCCUUAAAGCUUCGCUUAGAGAUGGGCCUGCGGUGCAUUAGCUAGUUGGUGGGUAAUGGCUACCAAGGCGACGAUGCAUAGCCGAACUGAGAGGUUAAUCGGCCACACUGGGACUGAGACACGGCCCAGACUCCUACGGGAGGCAGCAGUGGGGGAUAUUGCACAAUGGGCGAAAGCCUGAUGCAGCAACGCCGCGU
rnacentral:rRNA from 1 species